UACGUAGGGGGCAAGCGUUGUCCGGAAUCAUUGGGCGUAAAGAGCGCGUAGGCGGUCCGGUAAGUCCGCUCUGAAAGUCCGGGGCUCAACCCCGGGAGGCGGGCGGAUACUGUCGGGCUAGAGUCCGGAAGAGGCGAGUGGAAUUCCUGGUGUAGCGGUGAAAUGCGCAGAUAUCGGGAGGAACACCUAUGGCGAAGGCAGCUCGCUGGGACGUUACUGACGCUGAGACGCGAAAGCGUGGGGAGCAAACAGG
rnacentral:rRNA from 1 species